rnacentral:rRNA from 1 species
UUAGUGGCGGACGGGUGAGUAGCGCGUGAGAAUCUGCCUUCAGGUUCGGGACAACCACUGGAAACGGUGGCUAAUACCGAAUGUGCCGCAACGUGAAAGAUUUAUCGCCUGAAGAUGAGCUCGCGUCCGAUUAGCUAGUUGGUGAGGUAAAAGCUCACCAAGGCGACGAUCGGUAGCUGGUCUGAGAGGAUGACCAGCCACACUGGGACUGAGACACGGCCCAGACUCCUACGGGAGGCAGCAGUGGGGAAUUUUCCGCAAUGGGCGCAAGCCUGACGGAGCAAGACCGCGUGAGGGAGGAAGGCUCUUGGGUUGUAAACCUCUUUUCUCAGGGAAGAAGAAAGUGACGGUACCUGAGGAAUCAGCCUCGGCUAACUCCGUGCCAGCAGCCGCGGUAAUACGGAGGAGGCAAGCGUUAUCCGGAAUUAUUGGGCGUAAAGCGUCCGUAGGUGGUUAUGUAAGUCUGCUGUCAAAGCACAGGGCUUAACCCUGUAAAGGCAGUGGAAACUACAAGACUCGAGUGCGGUAGGGGCAGAGGGAAUUCCCAGUGUAGCGGUGAAAUGCGUAGAGAUUGGGAAGAACACCUGUGGCGAAAGCGCUCUGCUGGACCGCAACUGACACUCAGGGACGAAAGCUAG